rnacentral:misc_RNA from 1 species
GGUUUGUAUCCCGAAAGGUUGGUAAGACAAUCUACCUCAAGAUGUGCGGGAUUUCCUCACAUCCGUGAUAUUCCACGGAUGUGGGUUGGGGUUAUCCCGCUAAUGGGGCGGAGAGGGAUGAACGUCCGCGACUUCGGUGAAGCCCAAGGGCUGAGGAUUGAUAUUAAAUAUCAUGAAAUCCCAUGAAGCCCAAA